CAAGAAUCACCCAAGAGGCAAGCGCUUGGGCUGCCUACGAGGAACGAUUAUAUUCGGGCUGACAACAGCCAGACUCAACUAUUCCAGGAAUCAGAGCUUGAGGAAAGGAACAGAUGAAUGCUGGACCUGAAGGAGUUCAUGCUUAAAUAAGCCUCACCCUCAAGAACUGCGGAACUGAAGAAUGCAGGGGAUAUAACAUACUUG